rnacentral:rRNA from 1 species
UGGGGAAUUUUGCGCAAUGGGCGAAAGCCUGACGCAGCAACGCCGCGUGCGGGAAGAAGGCCUUCGGGUUGUAAACCGCUUUCAGUAGGGAAGAUUAUGACGGUACCUACAGAAGAAGCACCGGCUAAAUACGUGCCAGCAGCCGCGGUAACACGUAUGGUGCAAGCGUUAUCCGGAUUCAUUGGGCGUAAAGCGCGCGUAGGCGGCUUGUUAAGUCAGGUGUUAAAUCUGAGGGCUCAACCCCCAAUCGCAUCUGAAACUGGCAGGCUUGAGUUCGGUAGAGGAAAGUGGAAUUCCCAGUGUAGCGGUGGAAUGCGCAGAUAUUGGGAAGAACACCGAUGGCGAAGGCAGCUUUCUGGGCCGUAACUGACGCUGAUGUGCGAAAGCUAGGGGAGCGAACAGGAUUAGAUACCCUGGUAGUCCUAGCCGUAAACGAUGGGCACUAGGUGUGGGGAGAUCACUCUUUCCGUGCCGUAGCUAACGCAUUAAGUGUCCCCGUCCU